GCAUCGAUGAAGAACGCAGCGAACUGCGAAAAUUAAUGCGACCCGCAACACGUGAGUCAUCGAGUCUUUGAACGCAUAUUGCACCCGACGGGCUCGCUCGUCGGGUCUGCCUGUCUGAGUAUCAGUACGGACCCAACCGAUGCGAACGGCUUGCGCCUGCCGCGUCGAGUUGGUGGUCGCCGGUGGAGUGCCUCGCGGCCUCCUCUGGUGGAUCUGAGCGUCCGACCGCAGCGUCCGCGCGGCUGUCGGUGGCUUGAAUUGCAUGAGCGCGAUCACGACCGAUCGCCAGUCUAGUUAGCAUUGUUGAUCAUCCUUGGGAUGUUCUUUGCUAGUCGCUAGACCGGUUGCCCGGCGUGGUACACCGCGCUGAAAGCGUCGCGUACACAUUUGUCUCUACCAUCUUGAUCUCAGAUCAGGCAGGAUGACCCGCUGAACUUAAGCAUAUCAAUAAGCGGAGGA
rnacentral:rRNA from 1 species